GAGAGAACAACACACAAAGAAUCAAUGUUGUACACACAAUAGCAUUGCAUCGGAACAACGUCACAACGACGACAACAUGGCGACGCAAACGGAUAAACGAAAACUGUAUCAACAGCAACAAGAAAUCACAUUCGGCUAACGCAUUCGCUGUUCAAUAUCGGCCACUGUCAACGACAAACCGAUUUGAAUGUGUUGGUGUGAGAGUGUAUUUGAUUGCGACAUUUCAAACCAACAAGUCGGCAACAAGUCACAUCGUCUUGAACCAUCAUCAGUGUAAGAACUAAAAUUGCUGCGCAUAAAUUUUCAGUUUGCAUUGAAAGUGAAAUAUUCUCUCGAAUUGGAUUUUUGUCGGUUUUUCCAAAAAAAGUGUUCGCAAUAGCCAGCAAUGGCCAGUAUAUCCAGCGAAUACGAUGAUUCCGAUGAAGACGAAGAAGAAGAAAAAGAGGAGGCGAGAGACAAAGUUUUGGCCAAGCGUAUUCAUUUCAACGAG